UCCCAUGUGGUCUAGUGGUUAAGAUUCGUGGCUUUCACCCACGCGGCCCGGGUUCGAUUCCCGGCAUGGGAA
rfam:Enterobius vermicularis genome assembly, scaffold: EVEC_scaffold0001580